AGAGUUUGAUCCUGGCUCAGGAUGAACGCUGGCGGCGUGCCUAAUACAUGCAAGUCGAGCGAACCACUUCGGUGGUGAGCGGCGAACGGGUGAGUAACACGUAGGUGAUCUGCCCAUCAGACGGGGACAACGAUUGGAAACGAUCGCUAAUACCGGAUAGGACGAAAGUUUAAAGGUGCUUCUGGCACCGCUGAUGGAUGAGCCUGCGGCGCAUUAGCUAGUUGGUAGGGUAAAGGCCUACCAAGGCGACGAUGCGUAGCCGACCUGAGAGGGUGAACGGCCACACUGGGACUGAGACACGGCCCAGACUCCUACGGGAGGCAGCAGUAGGGAAUCUUCGGCAAUGGGCGAAAGCCUGACCGAGCAACGCCGCGUGAAUGAUGAAGGCCUUCGGGUUGUAAAAUUCUGUUAUAAGGGAAGAACGACUUUAGUAGGAAAUGGCUAGAGUGUGACGGUACCUUAUGAGAAAGCCACGGCUAACUACGUGCCAGCAGCCGCGGUAAUACGUAGGUGGCGAGCGUUAUCCGGAAUUAUUGGGCGUAAAGAGCGCGCAGGUGGUUGAUUAAGUCUGAUGUGAAAGCCCACGGCUUAACCGUGGAGGGUCAUUGGAAACUGGUCGACUUGAGUGCAGAAGAGGGAAGUGGAAUUCCAUGUGUAGCGGUGAAAUGCGUAGAGAUAUGGAGGAACACCAGUGGCGAAGGCGGCUUCCUGGUCUGUAACUGACACUGAGGCGCGAAAGCGUGGGGAGCAAACAGGAUUAGAUACCCUGGUAGUCCACGCCGUAAACGAUGAGUACUAGCUGUCGGAGGUUACCCCCUUCGGUGGCGCAGCUAACG
rnacentral:rRNA from 1 species